GACGAACGCUGGCGGCGUGCUUAACACAUGCAAGUCGAACGGAAAGGCCCUGAUUUUGUGGGGUGCUCGAGUGGCGAACGGGUGAGUAAAACGUGAGUAACCUGCCCUUGACUUUGGGAUAACUUCAGGAAACUGGGGCUAAUACCGGAUAGGAGCUCCUGCUGCAUGGUGGGGGUUGGAAAGUUUCGGCGGUUGGGGCUGGACUGGCGGGUUAUCAGCUUGCUGGUGGGGUAGUGGCUUACCAAGGCUUUGACGGGUAGCCGGCCUGAGAGGGUGACAGGCGACACAGGGACCUAGGUGCGGCCGAGGCUGCGAAGGGAGGGAGCAGGGGGGAAUAUUGCAGGAUGGGCGGAAGCCGGGUGCAGCAACGCCGCGUGCGGGAAAACUGCCUUAGGGGUGUAGACCGCAUUCGCCUGUGACGAAGCGUGAGUGACGGUAAUGGGUAAAGAAGCACCGGCUAACUACGUG
rnacentral:rRNA from 1 species